rnacentral:rRNA from 1 species
GAUGAACGCUGGCGGCGUGCCUAAUACAUGCAAGUCGAGCGAACAGACGAGGAGCUUGCUCCUCUGACGUUAGCGGCGGACGGGUGAGUAACACGUGGAUAACCUACCUAUAAGACUGGGAUAACUUCGGGAAACCGGAGCUAAUACCGGAUAAUAUAUUGAACCGCAUGGUUCAAUAGUGAAAGACGGUUUUGCUGUCACUUAUAGAUGGAUCCGCGCCGCAUUAGCUAGUUGGUAAGGUAACGGCUUACCAAGGCGACGAUGCGUAGCCGACCUGAGAGGGUGAUCGGCAACACUGGAACUGAGACACGUUCCAGACUCCUACGGGAGGCAGCAGUAGGGAAUCUUCCGCAAUGGGCGAAAGCCUGACGGAGCAACGCCGCGUGAGUGAUGAAGGUCUUCUGAUCGUAAAACUCUGUUAUUAGGGAAGAACAAAUGUGUAAGUAACUAUGCACGUCUUGACGGUACCUAAUCAGAAAGCCACGGCUAACUACGUG